rnacentral:lncRNA from 1 species
AGAACCCCCACACCUGACCACAAAAACCCUAGCCGCCUGCCCUCGCCGGAGAAGACGAACCAGACGCCGGAGAAGCCGGACGCCGCCACCCGCCGCCGCACCGGGGAGAUUUUCGACUGCCGAUCGAGGUAAAUUUCAUACCCCCGACUCGUUUUUCCACGCUGAUUUCCCCUGUGGCCAAAUCGGAGCCAAAAUCCCGGCCAAACGGCCGAAAAACACGGCCGAAACCCAGCGGCGUCGCCGCGCCCCUCCUCAGUUUUUGCCUCCGAUGAGGCCCUUCCCGGCCUCCGUUUGAUGCAAUUUUUA